GUUUUGGUGCUCACUGAGUCUGCCCUUUGAGUGUGUCACUUAUGGAUGUGUAGAGUUAUAAUCUGGUAUGGUCUGAAGCUGU